GUGGUUUCACUUUCACAGCCCUCGUUUCCUCAGAAAUUUUGACUCUCUUGGUAGAAUGGACCUUAAUUUUAGGUUCGUUCAAUGCAACCCAGUAGGGAAAGGUGACAAAUUGAAGCAGACACUCCUUAUCAUUUAAUCUAGUAAAUUAGGUAUUCCUACAUUCAAAACUAAAAUCUAAAAGAAAUGGAGUUCUCUACACCAGCAAGUCAGAGAAGCAGCAGGUCCAAAGGCAAAAUCACAGAAAGAAUUAAUUUGAGGAACUGCGGUACCACUGCAGCUAAUUUUGUAAAGAUCACACAGCCUUGUAAAAUGUGGCAGUGAAAGAAUUUGACCACAAGUCUGUCUGAUCCAGAGUCAGGAUCCUGUUUAUGCUGCACCGUCCUAGGCUAAUAGGACUCCUGGUGCUCCUGUCUGAACUCCUUUAAGAGCUCCAGAACUUGUAGAACUCAUGCGAGUGACAUUUUCCAGUUGAAUGCUGCACUAAGUGACAAAAUUGAAGAUGAGUGGUCUGGCAAAGAAAAUCUGAAGCUGGGUCAGAGAAAAUUUGUUCACCGAACAGAAGAGGUUUACCUAAAAUUUCAGUUGUCAACAUCCAGAAGAAAAGCUACUCAGAGUGAUCCUGUCUGAUAAAUAGAAAAUAAUGUGUUGGAGGUGGCAGAGUAGGGAGUGAUUUGUGGUGACUUUUGCUGUGCACAAACACAAAGCACCCCUAUGAGCUGCUUUUGAAGAGGGAAAAAGCCGUGUAUCAAGCAGAGCGCAUGUAGCUCAUUAGUUACCUAACUGGACUCUCUGUUCUUUACAAGAGAAACUUCCUCUGGGGUUGCAGUGGGGG